GAUGAACGCUGGCGGCGUGCUUAACACAUGCAAGUCGAACGAAGCACUUUAUUUGAUUUCCUUCGGGACUGAUUAUUUUGUGACUGAGUGGCGGACGGGUGAGUAACGCGUGGGUAACCUGCCUUGUACAGGGGGAUAACAGUUGGAAACGGCUGCUAAUACCGCAUAAGCGCACAGCAUCGCAUGAUGCAGUGUGAAAAACUCCGGUGGUAUAAGAUGGACCCGCGUUGGAUUAGCUAGUUGGUGAGGUAACGGCCCACCAAGGCGACGAUCCAUAGCCGACCUGAGAGGGUGACCGGCCACAUUGGGACUGAGACACGGCCCAAACUCCUACGGGAGGCAGCAGUGGGGAAUAUUGCACAAUGGGCGAAAGCCUGAUGCAGCGACGCCGCAUGAGCGAAGAAGUAUUUCGGUAUGUAAAGCUCUAUCAGCAGGGAAGAUAAUGACGGUACCUGACUAAGAAGCACCGGCUAAAUACGUG
rnacentral:rRNA from 1 species